rnacentral:tRNA from 1 species
AGCAGUGUGGCUUAGCAGAAAGAGCACGGGCUUGGGAGUCAGAGGUCGUGGGUUCUAAUCCCAGCUCUGCCA